GAUGAACGCUGGCGGCGUGCCUAAUACAUGCAAGUCGAGCGAACAGACGAGGAGCUUGCUCCUCUGACGUUAGCGGCGGACGGGUGAGUAACACGUGGAUAACCUACCUAUAAGACUGGGAUAACUUCGGGAAACCGGAGCUAAUACCGGAUAAUAUAUUGAACCGCAUGGUUCAAUAGUGAAAGACGGUUUUGCUGUCACUUAUAGAUGGAUCCGCGCCGCAUUAGCUAGUUGGUAAGGUAACGGCUUACCAAGGCAACGAUGCGUAGCCGACCUGAGAGGGUGAUCGGCCACACUGGAACUGAGACACGGUCCAGACUCCUACGGGAGGCAGCAGUAGGGAAUCUUCCGCAAUGGGCGAAAGCCUAACGGAGCAACGCCGCGUGAGUGAUGAAGGUCUUCGGACCGUAAAACUCUGUUAUUAGGGAAGAACAAAUGUGUAAGUAACUAUGCACGUCUUGACGGUACCUAAUCAGAAAGCCACGGCUAACUACGU
rnacentral:rRNA from 1 species